rnacentral:rRNA from 1 species
UACGUAGGUGGCAAGCGUUAUCCGGAAUUAUUGGGCGUAAAGAGCGCGCAGGUGGUUAAUUAAGUCUGAUGUGAAAGCCCACGGCUUAACCGUGGAGGGUCAUUGGAAACUGGUUGACUUGAGUGCAGAAGAGGGAAGUGGAAUUCCAUGUGUAGCGGUGAAAUGCGUAGAUAUAUGGAAGAACACCAGUGGCGAAAGCGGCUCUCUGGUCUGUAACUGACGCUGAGGUUCGAAAGCGUGGGUAGCAAACAGG